UGGGGUGUAGAUUGACCUGAGCAAAUUUGAAGCCGAUGGGACAAAAGAUUUAGGAGGAGUUAGCGAAAUUCCAAUGUGUGCGGAUCGGCAAAAAAUGCGAAAUAACCCUUUAACCGUACAUUUGACAGAUACGCCCGCACUGACUUUUUUGUAGAUCUUAUUGAGAUACAUGUGUGUGUCAAAUUUUGUGUCAUUUUGACAAAGCGUAAAGGCGUGACAAUCAACAAUGUGUAUUUUUGCCUUAGGAGACAAGAAAAAAUGGACUUUUUUCUCCUGCCAUGGGGGGGGGCGCUCUUUUGGCGAGUAAAAAUUCCUUCACAAAUGUGUUGAUGGCUGGACAUUGCAUCAUCCUAGAGAACUUGGAGGCCAGUGAGGACAAAAAUAAAAAGUUAUAAGACUUUUAAGACUGUGGAUUUUUGGGUUAUCUUUGGCGCCCCCUAGAACGUAAACCGUGGGGUGCAGCGUCAUGAUUUGUACAACUUUUAAUGGCCAUGGGGUGUAGAUUGGCCUCAGCAAAUGUGGUGCCUUUGGAACGAAAGCCUUCGGAGGAGUUAGCGAAAUUCCAAUGUGUGCGGAUCGGCAAAAAAUGCGAAAUAGCCCUUUCACCGUACAUUUGACAGAUACGCCCGCACUGACUUUUUUGUAGAUCUUAUUGAGAUACAUGUGUGUGUCAAUUUUUGUGUCAAUAUGACAAAGCGUAAAGGCGUGACAGUCAAUAGUGUGAAUUUUCGCCUUAGGAGACAAGAAAAAAUGGACUUUUUUCUCCUGCCAUGGGGGGGCGCUCUUUUGGGGAGUAAAAAUUCCUUCACAAAUGUGUUGAUGGCUGGACAUUGCAUCAUCCUAGAAAACUUGGAGGCCAGUGAGGACAAAAAUAAAAAGUUAUACGACUUUUAAGAAUGUGGAUUUCUGGGUUAUCUUUGGCGCCCCCUAGAACGUAAACCGUGGGAUGCAGCGUCAUGAUUUGUACAACUUUUAAUGGCCAUGGGGUGUAGAUUGGCCUGAGCAAAUUUGGUGCCGGUGGAACGAAAGCCUUCGGAGGAGUUAGCGAAAUUCCAAUGUGUGCGGAUCGGCAAAAAAUGCGAAAUAGCCCUUUAACCGUACAUUUGACAGAUACGCCCGCACUGACUUUUUUGUAGAUCUUAUUGAGAUACACGUGUGUGUCAAAUUUUGUGUCAUUUUGACAAAGCGUACAGGCGUGACACUCAAUCAUGUGAAUUUUUCACCUUAGGGGGCGCUAUGGAGCCAUUUUGCAUUUGAUUUUUGGGCGACUUCAGAAUAUCGAAUUUUUCACCAGGCCCGGUCGUCCUGCCAAAUUUCAUGACUUUUCACCAGUGGGAAGUGGGCCAUUUUCCAGUUCAAAGGGGCAGAAAAAUAAUAAGAAGAAGACUAGGGCCCCGGUGGGGCACUGUCGGGCCCGAGCCGCGUCGCGCCGCCCCCAGCGCGACCGCCUCCCCCUCCCGAUCGCGUCACACUCAAGGUCCAAAGAUGGUGUGCGCACUUGUCUGUGGUCAUUUCCCAUUAUAAUGAAUGGGAGGCGCAGUUUCUAUCAAAACGCUCGCUGCAGACAAACUACAUGUCCUAUUUGAAAAAAGUCUGGACCAUGAGUGAGGGCACAAACACAGCUAGUAUAUAUCCAAAUGGCAAGUUGCUCCUCCUUUCGGUUUUGCAGAGAGAGCGAUGCGUUUGAGCCAUUGAGCGAUGGGCAGGAAAAACUUGACUUUUUCUCCUGCCAUGGGGGGGCGCUCUUUUGGGGAGAAAAAUUCCUUCACAAAUGUGUUGAUGGCUGGACAUUGCAUCAUCCUAGAAAACUUGGAGGCCAGUGAGGACAAAAAUAAAAAGUUAUAAGACUUUUAAAAAUGUGGAUAUUUGGGUCCUCUUUGGCGCCCCCUAGAACGUAAACUGUGGGGUGCAGCGUCAUGAUUUGUACAACUUUGAAUGGCCAUGGGGUGUAGAUUGACCUGAGCAAAUUUGAAGCCGAUGGGACAAAAGAUUUAGGAGGAGUUAGCGAAAUUCCAAUGUGUGCGGAUCGGCAAAAAAUGCGAAAUAACCCUUUAACCGUACAUUUGACAGAUACGCCCGCACUGACUUUUUUGUAGAUCUUAUUGAGAUACAUGUGUGUGUCAAAUUUUGUGUCAUUUUGACAAAGCGUAAAGGCGUGACAGUCAACAAUGUGUAUUUUUGCCUUAGGAGACAAGAAAAAAUGGACUUUUUUCUCCUGCCAUGGGGGGGCGCUCUUUUGGCGAGUAAAAAUUCCUUCACAAAUGUGUUGAUGGCUGGACAUUGCAUCAUCCUAGAGAACUUGGAGGCCAGUGAGGACAAAAAUAAAAAGUUAUAAGACUUUUAAGACUGUGGAUUUUUGGGUUAUCUUUGGCGCCCCCUAGAACGUAAACCGUGGGGUGCAGCGUCAUGAUUUGUACAACUUUUAAUGGCCAUGGGGUGUAGAUUGGCCUCAGCAAAUGUGGUGCCUUUGGAACGAAAGCCUUCGGAGGAGUUAGCGAAAUUCCAAUGUGUGCGGAUCGGCAAAAAAUGCGAAAUAGCCCUUUCACCGUACAUUUGACAGAUACGCCCGCACUGACUUUUUUGUAGAUCUUAUUGAGAUACAUGUGUGUGUCAAUUUUUGUGUCAAUAUGACAAAGCGUAAAGGCGUGACAGUCAAUAGUGUGAAUUUUCGCCUUAGGAGACAAGAAAAAAUGGACUUUUUUCUCCUGCCAUGGGGGGGCGCUCUUUUGGGGAGUAAAAAUUCCUUCACAAAUGUGUUGAUGGCUGGACAUUGCAUCAUCCUAGAAAACUUGGAGGCCAGUGAGGACAAAAAUAAAAAGUUAUACGACUUUUAAGAAUGUGGAUUUCUGGGUUAUCUUUGGCGCCCCCUAGAACGUAAACCGUGGGAUGCAGCGUCAUGAUUUGUACAACUUUUAAUGGCCAUGGGGUGUAGAUUGGCCUGAGCAAAUUUGGUGCCGGUGGAACGAAAGCCUUCGGAGGAGUUAGCGAAAUUCCAAUGUGUGCGGAUCGGCAAAAAAUGCGAAAUAGCCCUUUAACCGUACAUUUGACAGAUACGCCCGCACUGACUUUUUUGUAGAUCUUAUUGAGAUACACGUGUGUGUCAAAUUUUGUGUCAUUUUGACAAAGCGUACAGGCGUGACACUCAAUCAUGUGAAUUUUUCACCUUAGGGGGCGCUAUGGAGCCAUUUUGCAUUUGAUUUUUUGGGCGACUUCAGAAUAUCGAAUUUUUCACCAGGCCCGGUCGUCCUGCCAAAUUUCAUGACUUUUCACCAGUGGGAAGUGGGCCAUUUUCCAGUUCAAAGGGGCAGAAAAAUAAUAAGAAGAAGACUAGGGCCCCGGUGGGGCACUGUCGGGCCCGAGCCGCGUCGCGCCGCCCCCAGCGCGACCGCCUCCCCUCCCGAUCGCGUCACACUCAAGGUCCAAAGAUGGUGUGCGCACUUGUCUGUGGUCAUUUCCCAUUAUAAUGAAUGGGAGGCGCAGUUUCUAUCAAAACGCUCGCUGCAGACAAACUACAUGUCCUAUUUGAAAAAAGUCUGGACCAUGAGUGAGGGCACAAACACAGCUAGUAUAUAUCCAAAUGGCAAGUUGCUCCUCCUUUCGGUUUUGCAGAGAGAGCGAUGCGUUUGAGCCAUUGAGCGAUGGGCAGGAAAAAAUUGACUUUUUCUCCUGCCAUGGGGGGCGCUCUUUUGGGGAGAAAAAAAUCCUUCACAAAUGUGUUGAUGGCUGGACAUUGCAUCAUCCUAGAAAACUUGGAGGCCAGUGAGGACAAAAAUAAAAAGUUAUAAGACUUUUAAAAAUGUGGAUAUUUGGGUCAUCUUUGGCGCCCCCUAGAACGUAAACUGUGGGGUGCAGCGUCAUGAUUUGUACAACUUUGAAUGGCCAUGGGGUGUAGAUUGACCUGAGCAA